AUGACUGAUGGUGGUUCACAUUUUAUUCAUGGUGCUUUUCAUAAAAUGCUUGCUAAGUAUGACGUUAAUCAUAGAAUUGCAUCUCCGUACCACCCACAGUCUAGUGGUCAAGUAAAACUGAGUAAUAGAGAGCUUAAAUUAAUUUUGCAAAAGACUGUUAAUAGAUCUAGAAAGAAUUGGUCCAAGAAACUUGAUGAUGCAUUAUGGGCCUAUAGAACUACAUAUAAAAAUCCUAUGGGUAUGUCCUCGUAUAAAAUGGUUUAUGGAAAAGCAUGUCACUUACCUCUCGAACUAGAACAUAAGGCAUAUUGGGCCAUUAAAGAGCUCAAUUAUGAUUUCAAACUUGCCGGUGAAAAGAGGAUAUUUGACAUUAGCUCACUUGAUGAAUGGAGAACCCAAGCCUACGAGAAUGCUAAACUGUUUAAAGAAAAAGUUAAAAGAUGGCAUGACAAAAGGAUACAAAAGUGUGAGUUUAAUUUAGGUGAUUAUGUUUUGCUAUACAACUCUCAUUUAAGAAUUUUUGCAGGAAAACUUCUCUCUAAAUGGGAAGGCCCUUACGUUAUCGAGGAGGUCUAUCAUUCCGGUGCCAUAAAAUUCAACAAUUUCGAAGGCACAAAUCCGAAGGUGGUGAAUGGUCAAAGAAUCAAACAUUAUAUCUCAGGUUUACAUGAAGAGGGGAAUGCCGGCAGCUGGAAUUCUGGGCUGGAAAAGGAGCAAAUAUUAGAGACCUAUUAUGCACAACUCCAAAAGUCCUAA
rnacentral:rRNA from 1 species